UAACGGCCUACCAAGGUGAUGAUACGUAGCCGAACUGAGAGGUUGAUCGGCCACAUUGGGACUGAGACACGGCCCAAACUCCUACGGGAGGCAGCAGUAGGGAAUCUUCCACAAUGGACGCAAGUCUGAUGGAGCAACGCCGCGUGAGUGAAGAAGGUCUUCGGAUCGUAAAACUCUGUUGUUAGAGAAGAACACGAGUGAGAGUAACUGUUCAUUCGAUGACGGUAUCUAACCAGCAAGUCACGGCUAACUACGUGCCAGCAGCCGCGGUAAUACGUAGGUGGCAAGCGUUGUCCGGAUUUAUUGGGCGUAAAGGGAACGCAGGCGGUCUUUUAAGUCUGAUGUGAAAGCCUUCGGCUUAACCGGAGUAGUGCAUUGGAAACUGGAAGACUUGAGUGCAGAAGAGGAGAGUGGAACUCCAUGUGUAGCGGUGAAAUGCGUAGAUAUAUGGAAGAACACCAGUGGCGAAAGCGGCUCUCUGGUCUGUAACUGACGCUGAGGUUCGAAAGCGUGGGUAGCAAACAGGAUUAGAUACCCUGGUAGUCCACGCCGUAAACGAUGAAUGCUAGGUGUUGGAGGGUUUCCGCCCUUCAGUGCCGCAGCUAACGCAAUAAGCAUUCCGCCUGGGGAGUACGACCGCAAGGUUGAAACUCAAAGGAAUUGACGGGGGCCCGCACAAGCGGUGGAGCAUGUGGUUUAAUUCGAAGCAACGCGAAGAACCUUACCAGGUCUUGACAUCCUUUGACCACCUAAGAGAUUAGG
rnacentral:rRNA from 1 species